AACGAACGCUGGCGGCAGGCCUAACACAUGCAAGUCGAGCGGACCCUCCGGGGUUAGCGGCGGACGGGUGUGUAAAGCGUGGGAAUAUGCCCUUCUCUACGGAAUAGUCCUGGGUAAUUGGGGGUAAUACCGUAUACGCGCUGUGGGGGAAAGAUUUAUCGCGGAAGGAUUAGCCCGCGUUGGUUCAGGUUGUUGGUUGGGUAAUGGCCUACCAAGGCGUCUAUCCAAAGCUGGUUAGAGAGCAUGGUCAGCCACACUGGUACUGAGACACGGCCCAGACUACUACAGGAGGCAGCAGUAGAGAAUCCUAGAAAAUGGAGGCAGUACUGAUCUAUCUAUGCCGCGUGAGUGGUGAUGGCCUUAGAGUUGUAAAGCAGGUUCAGCUAGGAAGAUUAUGACGGUACCAACAGAAGAAGCCCCGGCUAACUGCGUG
rnacentral:rRNA from 1 species